UGCAUCGGCCGGGAAUCGAACCCGGGCCGCCCGCGUGGCAGGAGAGCAUUCUACCACUAAGCCACCGAUGC
rnacentral:tRNA from 1 species